GACGAACGCUGGCGGCGUGCUUAACACAUGCAAGUCGAACGAAGUGGCGAACGGGUGAGUAACGCGUAAUCAACCUGCCCUUCAGAGGGGGACCACAGUUGGAAACGACUGCUAAUACCGCAUACUGAAGGAGGGGAUUGCGUCUGAUUAGCUAGUUGGAGGGGUAACGGCCCCCCAAGGCGAUGAUCAGUAGCCGGUCUUAGAGGAUGGACGGACACAGUGGGAGUGAGACACGGCCCAGACUCCUACGGGAGGCAGCCGUGGGGAAUCUUCCGCAAUGGACGAAAGUCUGACGGAGCAACGCCGCGUGAGUGAUGACGGCAUUCGGGGUGUAAAGCUCUGUUAAUCGGGACGCGGUACCGGAAUAGAAAGCCACGGCUAACUACGUGCCAGCAGCCGCGGUAAUAC
rnacentral:rRNA from 1 species